GUGAAUCAUCGAAUUUUUGAACGCAAAUUGCGCCUUUUUCGGAAGGCAUGUCUGUUUGAGGGCGCCAUUUAACAAAUAAUGUGCCGCGUUUUUUGUUGCACACGUUGAUGAGCUUUCGAAGAAUUUUAAAUUUUUGGUGGCGCAUAAUGCACAGCGUGAAAGUUUUUUUUAGUUCGAGUGUAGUAUAAUUUUUGCUUGGGUUGUGAAACAACAUAAUCGCGCAAUGGGUGUGGCACUUUAUUUUUAUCUCUGCU
rnacentral:misc_RNA from 1 species